rnacentral:rRNA from 1 species
UGGGGAAUUUUCCGCAAUGGGCGCAAGCCUGACGGAGCAAUACCGCGUGAGGGAUGACGGCCCUUGGGUUGUAAACCUCUUUUAUCAAGGAGGAAGUUCUGACGUGUACUUGAUGAAUAAGCAUCGGCUAACUCCGUGCCAGCAGCCGCGGUAAGACGGAGGAUGCAAGUGUUAUCCGGAAUCACUGGGCGUAAAGCGUCUGUAGGUGGUUCGAAAAGUCCACUGUUAAAAAUUGAGGCUUAACUUCAAAGAUGCCGUGGAAACUUUCAAACUAGAGUAUGGUAGGGGUAGAGGGAAUUUCCAGUGGAGCGGUGAAAUGCGUAGAUAUUGGAAAGACCACCGAUGGCGAAGGCACUCUACUGGGCCAUUACUGACACUGAGAGACGAAAGCUAGGGGAGCAAAUGG